UACGUAGGUGGCAAGCGUUGUCCGGAUUUACUGGGCGUAAAGAGCGCGCAGGCGGUCGUGCAAGUCGCGUGUGAAAGCCCCCGGCUCAACUGGGGAGGGUCACGCGAUACUGCUCGACUCGAAGGCAGGAGAGGGAAGUGGAAUUCCCGGUGUAGUGGUGAAAUGCAUAGAUAUCGGGAGGAACACCAGUGGCGAAGGCGACUUCCUGGCCUGUUCUUGACGCUGAGGCGCGAAAGCUAGGGUAGCAAACGGG
rnacentral:rRNA from 1 species